GGCCUAGGAGAGGCAUCGGGCAUCGGCGUACUUAACACUUCUGAAAAUAUUCACGCAGGAAGGAGUAUCUUCGCAUCGAGGAAACAGUAACUGACAUCCCGAGCAGCCUGAGAGGAGGUGGAGGCCUAGGAGGAGGCAUCAGGCGCCGGCGGAGCAACAAGCGAAUCAUCGUAGCGACGUUGCAGAAUAACUCCGCUGUUGUGCAUCGGUCGGUGAGUGAUGAUUAAAAUUUCAUAAUUAAGGUAACGAAUUUAUGACAAUUAUUACGUCAAAUAUAUUGCAGAGUCAAGUUAUCACAAUAAAUUAUUACAUAUGUUACGUUUCACAGAUUCGUUGUCUUAAAAUGGAAUGACUGGGUCAGAUUAGGAUUUAACAUUUAAUCCUGGAUAAAUCACAUAAAUUGAUUUGUCGUACAUUUUGUCAUUGUAAAUUUCAUCCCAAAUAUCUUUCAGGAUUAAGUGUUAUAUAAAUUGGUGCAAGAAUGCAAUAUAUACGCUUAGAGAUGCUUUUAGCCUGCAUAUAUCACGAUUGAAGAUAAAAAGUACU